GUGCUUGCUUCAUCAGCACAUUUACUGCAUUGGAACAGCACAGAGAAGAUUAGCAUAGCCUCUGUGCAGGGGUAACACACAAAUUUGUGAAGGGUUCCAUAUUUUU